rnacentral:misc_RNA from 1 species
UGAGCUCAUCAGGAGGAUGAACUAGAGAUAUGGUGUGCUUCCCAUUCUCAUUAUUAGAAGGAUGGUGUUUUGGGGUAGCUUUAUCUCUCGCUAGUGAGUUUAGAACCAUGGAAUUGUCGUCAAUUUUGAGAAUUUGGAUCUUGAGUUCUGUCAUUUACCGUGUUUUCAUGUUGUUGAAUUGUACGACAUUGUUGCCUAUUUUCAUCUGCA